rnacentral:misc_RNA from 1 species
CCGAGUUUACAACUCCCAAACCCAAUGUGAGCGUUACCAAACUGUUGCCUCGGCGGGAUCUCUGCCCCGGGUGCGUCGCAGCCCCGGACCAAGGCGCCCGCCGGAGGACCAACCAAAACUCUUAUUGUAUACCCCCUCGCGGGUUUUUUACUAUCUGAGCCAUCUCGGCGCCCCUCGUGGGCGUUUCGAAAAUGAAUCA